GCACAUAUAUUUCCCAUUUAUCCCUUUCUCCAUGUGGCUAUCAAGUCUUUUGAAAGGAAAAUUCAAAAGCGACUCAAAUCUCCUAGACACUGCUUUUACCCGGAUUCACUCGUCUCCUUCAUCUCCUCUCUCUAUUUCAUCUCCUUCAUCGUUUCCGAGUUCACUCGUCUCUUUUCUUAUCGUGCAUCUUUGACUGAGAUUAAGAUGUAUAUAUGUUCAUAACUAGAUGUAUUUCAUGUAUUUGAGUUUCUGGGGUUGUGAUUUUCAGUUCGUGCAAAGAAGAAGAUGGAUAGAUGUUUAUGGGUUAUGACUUUUAGUUCACGCCAAGAAAAAGAUACAGAUCUGUUUAUGGAUUAUGGUUUCGAUUUCAUUAAUACACUCUCUAGCUUCAAGACCAUUAACUCCAUAAUAUUCAUUGCUCAAACACUUUUAAUCAGGUUAUGUUUUUCUUUUUAUUUAUAAUCGAAGGGUUUGUUUUUAUGUUCUUAUUCUUAUUUUAGGGUUUAUGGAAAUUGGAGAAAAUGUCUUACAAAAAUUAGGGUUUGUUUCUUUUCAUUUUGAUGUGUGGUUUUAUGGUCUAAGCAUCCAAUAAAUAUAUUUUGUUUUUAGGUUUUCUUGGAUGCUAUGGAGACGAAAACUUCAAUGUACUUACAGGCUACAGAAAUGAGAAUCCGUGCGAGAGAAAUGGUAUACCACAAGGUUUAGAUAAACAAGAUACUAUCAAUAAGUACACGAAAGCCUGAAUAGCAGGGAUCGUGAUAAUUUUAUGAAUCCUUGUGAAGUGAAGGAAUACGGUUUGAUUGAUGAGGUUAUUGAUGACGGAAAAAUAGGUUUUGUUGAAUCCUUGUACAUGGCGCCAGAUUUUGAAGCUGAAGCUAUUUUCAAUCAGGAGUUUAUCAAGGUCUUACCUACCAAGGUAAAGCCUCUGCACAUGGGCCAUUGGAAUUACUUUAUACUAUAUGAUAUUGGGUGAAUACCCUUUUCUUGGUGACACACUUCAAGAUACAUAUGACAGACUUAUGGAAAAAUUUCUGAUGACAAAUGUAUAAUGGUGAUGAAAAAAACAUGGGGAAGGGAAUGAUAGGAAAAAGGAAGUUUAGUGGUGAUGAAAUUGAAGAUUUGGGUUUUUAUGGGUCUGAUUUGAACUAUGAUUCUGAUGAUUUGACUGAGAGUAAUGGCAAAAACGGUGGAAAUGGGAACAACACUGUCACUGACCGGAAAGGGAAGAAUAAAGCAAUUCUGAUAAGAAUUUGAUGGUCGAGCGUCGCAAGAGGAAAAAGCUCAAUGAUAGACUUUAUAUGCUGAGGUCUGUUGUUCCAAAGACUAGAAAAGUUCUAGCAUCCCGUUGCAUAGAGGGUUGAUUGCAUUUGCAUAGAUGGUUGAUGUUAAUCCCAUCGGCUAUGUUGCUGCAGGUUCUAAUUUGGAGAUUCGAGCAACUCAAUGCAUAUGAUGCCGGUGUAAGAUGACUUUAUGUUGGAUCUAUGGUCAAGCAUAUACAGAAAGAGAAUGAAAAUGGGGCAUAAUUUAACUCUUUGUAGACUGUACUUGAAUAAUCAUAUCACUUUGUAUUAAUUGUAUCGAUCAAUGCUUCAACAAUGAUAAACAUGUUAUUUAUAUUUUAUAUUUAAAUGGGAUCAAAAAAUAACUAAUUUGAUUAUGCAAAA